GACGAACGCUGGCGGCGUGCUUAACACAUGCAAGUCGAGCGGUAAGGCCCUUUCGGGGGUACACGAGCGGCGAACGGGUGAGUAACACGUGGGUGACCUGCCCUCAGCUCUGGGAUAAGCCUGGGAAACUGGGUCUAAUACUGGAUAUGACUCCACGGUGCAUGUCGUGGGGUGGAAAGCCUUGUGCGGCUGAGGAUGGGCCCGCGGCCUAUCAGCUUGUUGGUGGGGUGAUGGCCUACCAAGGCGACGACGGGUAGCCGGCCUGAGAGGGCGACCGGCCACACUGGGACUGAGACACGGCCCAGACUCCCACGGGAGGCAGCAGUGGGGAAUCUUGCGCAAUGGGCGAAAGCCUGACGCAGCGACGCCGCGUGAGGGAUGACGGCCUGG
rnacentral:rRNA from 1 species